UAAUACUAUUCAGAACGGACAGCUUAAUUAUCACCAAUAACAGCAUAACAACAUCAAUUUUUACAAAUAAAAUUAAACUCAAUUCGGCAGAUACAAUUAAUAAAUAGAAUAUCCUAAUCUAUAGUGCAUUAAACAGUGAGUUUAACACAUUCGGACAGCUAAAUCUUAAAUUCACUAUCAACUAAUUAGCUUUUAUAUCACAUAUGCUAUUGUUGCAUUUACAACAUGGUUUAAUUAGAUUAAAGCAGAGAAUUUAAAUGCUGAAAUUUCCAGUGUUCAGACCCUAAAUUACUCUUUCG
rnacentral:lncRNA from 1 species